CUUAAAUUGAAGAGUUUGAUCAUGGCUCAGAUUGAACGCUGGCGGCAGGCUUAACACAUGCAAGUCGAGCGGAAACGAGUUAUCAGAACC
rnacentral:rRNA from 1 species